rnacentral:rRNA from 1 species
GCUGGAUGCUCCAACUUGACGCAUGUCUUGUUUGGGAAAGUGUUUAGUGGCAUGGGAUGGGGUCGCGUCCUAUCAGCUUGUAGGCCGGGGUAAUGGCCCACCUAGGCUUCGACGGGUAGCCGGCCUGAGAGGGCGGACGGCCACAUUGGGACUGAGAUACGGCCCAGACUCCUACGGGAGGCAGCAGUGGGGAAUAUUGCGCAAUGGGGGAAACCCUGACGCAGCGACGCCGCGUGCGGGAUGAAGGCCUUCGGGUUGUAAACCGCUUUUGAUUGGGAGCAAGCCUUUUGGGUGAGUGUACCUUUCGAAUAAGCGCCGGGCUAACUACGUGCCAGCAGCCGCGGUAAAAU